GGCGUCAUAGCUCAGUUGGGAGAGCAGCAGACUGAAGUGAGUCCAUGUCAUCUGAAGGUCCGGUGUUCAAGCCACCGUGAUGCCA